rnacentral:rRNA from 1 species
CCUACGGGAGGCAGCAGUGAGGAAUAUUGGUCAAUGGACGAGAGUCUGAACCAGCCAAGUAGCGUGAAGGAUGACUGCCCUAUGGGUUGUAAACUUCUUUUAUAUGGGAAUAAAAUGUUCCACGUGUGGGAUUUUGUAUGUACCAUAUGAAUAAGGAUCGGCUAACUCCGUGCCAGCAGCCGCGGUAAUACGGAGGAUCCGAGAGUUAUCCGGAUUUAUUGGGUUUAAAGGGAGCGUAGGUAGAUUGUUAAGUCAGUUGUGAAAGUUUGCGGCUCAACCGUAAAAUUGCAGUUGAAACUGGCAGUCUUGAGUACAGUAGAGGUGGGCGGAAUUCGUGGUGUAGCGGUGAAAUGCUUAGAUAUCACGAAGAACUCCGAUUGCGAAGGCAGUUCACUGGACUGCAACUGACACUGAGGCUCGAAAGUGUGGGUAUCAAACAGGAUUAGAUACCCGAGUAGUC